rnacentral:rRNA from 1 species
UACAGAGGUCCCGAGCGUUUGUUCGGAUUCACUGGGCGUAAAGGGUGCGUAGGCGGCCAACUAAGUCAGACGUGAAAUCCCCAGGCUCAACCUGGGAACUGCGUCUGAUACUGGAUGGCUUGAAUCCGGGAGAGGGAUGCAGAAUUCCAGGUGUAGCGGUGAAAUGCGUAGAUAUCUGGAGGAAUACCGGUGGCGAAGGCGCAUCCUGGACCGGCAUUGACGCUGAGGAGCGAAAGCCAGGGAGCAAAGCGGG